rnacentral:rRNA from 1 species
GACGUAGGGCGCGAGCGUUGUCCGGAUUCAUUGGGCGUAAAGGGUGCGUAGGCGGCGGGGCAAGUCGGAUGUGAAAUCUCAGGGCUCAACCCUGAAACUGCAUUCGAUACUGCCGGACUAGAGUUCGGAAGAGGCGAGUGGAAUUCCCGGUGUAGCGGUGAAAUGCGCAGAUAUCGGGAGGAACACCAAUGGCGAAGGCAGCUCGCUGGGACGUUACUGACGCUGAGACGGCGAAAGCGUGGGGAGCAACAGGGAUUAAGAAACCCU